CGUAGCCCAGGCCCGAUCCGGCGCACUUUGCAGCGGUGCCCACUGUAAUCCCGAUCGAGUCUAUUUUUCUUCAUGUUAGUCGGCUUCAGAUUUAAUACGAACAGCGGCAAGGUUUGCUCAGCUUAUUGAGUCCUUGAAGGUGCCGUCUGGCUGAAUGCCGUGCUCCAGGCAGAAGAGUUCCCAGCAUGCAUUUCCUAUCUGCACUCCAGCCUGGCCAACGUGAACAGAGAUGCACUCACGCUAAGGGGAGAGAGGAGAGAAGCAGCUAGAAGCUCAGAAGUCAUCACUGCCCCAGCUAGUCAUCCCCAGAAGUUCAAAUGAACAUGAAAGCUCAAUUUAAAUCUUUCAUUCAAUGAAAUAAAUUAUUUCUGUUGACUACUCAUUUCUAAGCUGCUGACUCUGCAAUUGCAUGUGCUCUCAAGUGUACUUGCACAACCCUGUUUUUCUCAACUGAGUUGUGCAAAAGUCUCUGAGUUAUUUGAGUGACAAUGGGGCUUCAUAAGUCAGCGUGUUGCAAUCUGGAGGACUACUCAGGAGACCCUGAAGGCAUCUUUGGGCUUAGAGAAUUCAAUUGAUGCUGACUUUCCACAGAGCAGGCUCCUGCCUUUUCUUUGAAAUCCCAGUGUGAAUCUGUGAGGCUGGCAGCAAGAAAAAGAAGAGGUUUUAUUCUUUUCAAACACAGCAAUGAGGCCAGCUGGCUUUUAAAAAGAGUAUCUUUUAAAGCAAAACUACAAUUACAAGUUAAGCAAUACUUUAUACCUAAAGAGCUGCUUUGCUCAGUUCUUCAGAUCUGUAGAGGAAUUAGGUGUGUUUUUUUCACAGACAGAACAAGUGAAUGCUGCCUUAGGAAGUUAAUAUUGUAAAGUUUCAUACAGGACUAUAGCUGAAGAGGUUUUAGACUGAGUUUUCAGCUGCGCUCAUUUGAAACCGUAUCUCAACCCCGCUUUUUGAGCCGUUUCAUCUUCUCCUACCCCAGCAGUAAUUUGGAAAUAUUCUGCUGAAGAGAGAAGACCGUGAAAAAGAGGUUUCUGAUUUUGCAUAGUAAACAGCAAUAAAAUAGAUGCCAGACUUUUAGUAGGGAAGAGAGUGGGCCUUCUUCAGCGUAGCAGUAAACUGAUCUUUACAUGAUAUUUUAAUUUGGAGCCUUACCCAAACUCAUGUUUCACAUCCUACCACCAAUGUACCAGGACAGGACUAACAAAGAAACAGUAGAAAGGACCAGAUCCUUUGUGAAACUAAACCUGGGACAGCUUCAAAUCUUAAAAAAACCAACUAAUACCUGGCUCCAGUAUUUACUGCACAAAGGCAGACUAUAGUCUUCCAGCUGUUCCACAAACACGCUCACUUCCCCAGGUCUGGGAAGCCUGUGGAAGUAUCUUGCCUGCGAGGUGAGCUGGCAGAAAGUAACACAGUUCUUCCUCUGCACCAAAAUUAGACUCAGUGCUAGAGAUAUAUUGGAGUACAAGGUGAAAUAGAUGUUUUCACAUUCUAAGAGGUUUUGAGCGAUUUCUACAAAUUUAUAACAAACCCCCAACACUUAAAAACAAAGGGCAUUUUUUCACUUGCUUAAACGCAUACAUACAUAAAAGGAUUCAUGGACUCCAGAAACACACCUGCUUACCCUGUAUAGCUAUGGACAGUAUAGCCCUUGGGGCUAAAUUAAUUUAAAACAGACACAAAGGUAAAUAACUUUUUUUGGUUUAUUUCUAAAAAGAAUUAUCUCUCAUGCAAAUGAACUGGUAUUGAGAAAAUGUGGUCGCAACAGAAAAUACCAAACAGCUAAGACUCCACAUUAAGACAUUAAGUUUGUCUUAUAAUUCCACUAUUUAGGGACUCUCUGAAGAAAACUUAAUGCUGUAAUGCUUCAGGAAGAUUUUCUGCGCUCCUCUGCCAUCUUCUUACGUGGUAAAUGGUGUGUGAGAUCAGGGUUCUGCGGCAAAACCUACCAAUAACAACAGCAGAUCCCCCUGCCUUCCCUCCCCCACAGCCCUCCCCAUCCCUGUGUGGCCGGGGUUCCCACAUCCCCCUUACCAUGGUGUCUCCAGAGGUGUUUGCUUCCCUUUGGGAUCACUGGUGGCAGGUCUGUGCCGGAGCCUGGCUCUGGGCUGCAGGGCGGGAGGCACCCUGGGCCCGGCACGCGGCACCUGCUGCUGCGCUUCAGUGUCACAGCGCGGAGGGGAGAGGUCAGCCCGCUGCCUCCUGCCCUCCAGCACCCUCCUGUGCAAAUCCUCCCCCACAGGCAGGGCUCACACACACCCCAGCUUUCAAACUCAGUGCAGCCAGGGUUGGCACGCUUAUUGACUUGGAGCGCAGCCAUGUAACACAUCGUACGCUGUGCUUUCUAACACCUCAGGAUUUUACAUCACCUGCAAGACACACACCAUCCCAGUUCCCUGCUCUGCCAAUAUGUACUUCUGUAGAUGAAAAUCGCUCCUGAAUUCCAGUACAGAAGGCAUAAGAGAGCAAACAAAUGGAAAGGAGAAGGAUAGAAGAAAAACAAAAAUAGAGAUCUGGAAACUAAACAUAUAUAUUACCAUCCUUAAGCUUGCUCUACCAUCACUUUUAAAUGAUCUCCUGGCUUCUCUAUUAAUAUUUCAAUUUACUUCUAUUUCUUCUCUUUCCAUGUGUAGUUAUCCAGGCUGUCAGCAGUAUGGGACAGCUUUCAGUACAGCCUUCUCUGUCCAAACACAGAAAGAAAUCUGAUUCCUAUUGCAGUGUUUAUUGCAGGACAGAGCUGGAGGCAUCACCCCAACAUUCUGACGCCAGAUUAGUGCAGUUGCCUCCACCACUUUGCUCCUUCUGCCCUAGUUCAGCACUGGAAAGCAGCAGCUUCUCUCAGUACAGAAAUCCUCAUGUCUGCAACCCCUAGGUAACAAAGAGGAAGGCACACUUAACUGCUUGAAUCUGAGUGUUAUGUUUCCCCAGACUUUAUAAAUGUACUGUUUAUGAUGAUGUUUAAUGAGUAGACAUUUAAAUAGACAAUUCCUAAAAUGUAGGUUAGUCUACUUUGACAUGAUGAUAUUAACAGAUUGUUCUGCCACUCUUGGCAACCAGCAUAUAAGUAUCUUCUUUAACACCUACAUUUUAACAGUAAGAAGUAGUUCAUACUAGUUUUUAUAAACUCAACUUUGGUAUAGUCUUAAUUUUGCUGUUCUUUACAUAAACCUGCAAAUCAUUACUCUUUGAUUUUGGCUGGGAAAAGCUACAGAAAUUUCUGGAGCCAUAAUUAUUUUUUUACAAAGAACUUCCAUUAUAAUUUCCAUCUGCUGCUUUGCUUAAGCUGAAUCUGAGUUCUCCACAAAACCAUCAGAUUGUUGCUUUGAGACUAAGGAACAGGUUGCUCUAGUGUUCUUCUUCCACUGGAAGUGGUAACAUUCCAGACAAGCUCUGGUGCUCUGGACAAUCUGAAAUGUUAAUGCUCACAGCUUCAGAGAAUCAAGAAAAAGUCUCACAGCAAAUACUUUGAGCAGGCCACCACCCGAAACCUCUUAGGCACACUUUGAGUCAACGUGUCUGAUCUAGCAGCUACAAAAUCUAGAAGAGGUCUGUGAAUUACUAAAUUAUUUGCAACUUAGUCCUUUGUGGCAUUUUCUCUGCUCUCUCCUAGCCAGUGGGAGUCCACAGAGACAUGAGGCAGACACGGCCUGGACCUGGAUUCUUGGAAAAUAAGUAAUCUUGAUGGAUGCUGGCAUUCAACCUCUGUGGGCAGAUGGCAUCUACUUUAAUACAAUAUGAUCUUAUACCACAGUAGUGCCAGCUUCUCUCCUGGGAGAAAACAUCAAGUGAUUUACAGUUCUGGAGAAGCAGAACUUUAAAUGCUGACUUGGACUCAACUGUAAAUGGAAAUGGAGCAAACUGUGUUCAGAGCCAAUAAAACAUACCCUUAGAGGA